UUCUAUUUUGUAUUUCAUGAUCAGUGUCAUAAAAAUACAACUGAAGAUUACACGAAGGACAACCAUCAGGCAAUAAGUCAUUGAUGAAAUGGUGCAUUUGACCCUGAACUUUGAAAGUAUAUAUACCCUUAUUACUCCAACACAAAUCU